rnacentral:rRNA from 1 species
UACGUAGGGCGCAAGCGUUGUCCGGAAUUAUUGGGCGUAAAGAGCUCGUAGGCGGCUUGGCAAGUCGGGUGUGAAAUCCCCAGGCUUAACCUGGGAACUGCAUUCGAGACUGCAUUGCUAGAGUAUGGGAGAGGGAAGUGGGAAUUUCCGGUGUAGCGGUGAAAUGCGUAGAUAUCGGAAGGAACAUCAGUGGCGAAAGCGACUUCCUGGACCAAUACUGACGCUCAUGUGCGAAAGCGUGGGGAGCAAACAGGG